ACGGAAGGCAGCAGUGAGGAAUAUUGGUCAAUGGACGCGGGUCUGAACCAGCCAAGUCGCGUGAGGGAUGGCGGUCCUAUGGAUUGUAAACCUCUUUUGUCGGGGAGUAACGUGCGGGACGUGUCCCGUAUUUAGAUUACCCGAAGAAAAAGCAUCGGCUAACUCCGUGCCAGCAGCCGCGGUAAUACGGAGGAUGCGAGCGUUAUCCGGAUUUAUUGGGUUUAAAGGGAGCGCAGGGGGCGCGUCAAGUCAGCGGUAAAAGGUCGGGGCUCAACCCCGGCCGGCCGUUGAAACUGCCGUGCUCGAGUUCGUGCGAGGAGAGCGGAAUGCGUGGUGUAGCGGUGAAAUGCAUAGAUAUCACGCAGAACGCCGAUUGCGAAGGCAGCCCUCCAGCACUGGACUGACGCUGAGGCUCGAAAGCGUGGGUAUCGAACAGGAUUAGAUACCCUGGUA
rnacentral:rRNA from 1 species